rnacentral:tRNA from 1 species
GUUGUAGCUCAGUUGGUUAGAGCGCUGCACUGGAAUGGCAGGGCAACAGGUUCGAUUCCUGCCAGGGACC